AGUGAACGCUGGCGGUAGGCCUAACACAUGCAAGUCGAACGGCAGCACGGAGGAGCUUGCUCCUUGGGUGGCGAGUGGCGGACGGGUGAGGAAUACAUCGGAAUCUACUCUGUCGUGGGGGAUAACGUAGGGAAACUUACGCUAAUACCGCAUACGACCUACGGGUGAAAGCAGGGGAUCUUCGGACCUUGCGCGAUUGAAUGAGCCGAUGUCGGAUUAGCUAGUUGGCGGGGUAAAGGCCCACCAAGGCGACGAUCCGUAGCUGGUCUGAGAGGAUGAUCAGCCACACUGGAACUGAGACACGGUCCAGACUCCUACGGGAGGCAGCAGUGGGAAUAUUGGACAAUGGGCGCAAGCCUGAUCCAGCCAUACCGCGUGGGUGAAGAAGGCCUUCGGGUUGUAAAGCCCUUUUGUUGGGAAAGAAAUCCAUCUGGUUAAUACCCGGGUGGGAUGACGGUACACAAAGAAUAAGCACCGGCUAACUUCGUGCCAGCCGCCGCGGUAAAAC
rnacentral:rRNA from 1 species